rnacentral:rRNA from 1 species
AAUCAACGCUGGCGGCGUGCCUAACACAUGCAAGUCGAACGAGAAAGUGGGAGCAAUCCCGCGAGUACAGUGGCAGACGGGUGAGUAACACGUGAACAACCUACCCUCGAGUGGGGAAUAACACCGCGAAAGCGGUGCUAAUACCGCAUAACAUCCUUGGAACGCAUGUUCCGGGGAUCAAAGGCGAAAGUCGCUUGGGGAGGGAUUCGCGCCUGAUUAGCUAGUUGGUGAGGUAACGGCCCACCAAGGCGACGAUCAGUAGCCGGCCUGAGAGGGCGAACGGCCACACUGGAACUGAGACACGGUCCAGACUCCUACGGGAGGCAG